ACUGGGCACAGUGGUACAUGCCUAUAGUCCCAGCUACUCAGGAGGCCGAGACAGGAGAACCACUUGAAUUCAGGAGUUCUGGGCUGUAGUACGCUAUGCUGAUUGGGUGUCUACACUAAGUUUGGCAUCAAUAUGGUGACCUGCUGGGAGUGGGGGGCCACCAGGUUGCCUAAGGAGGGGUGAACCCGCCAGGUUGGAAACGGAGCAGGUCAAAACUCCUGUGCUGAUCAGUAGUGGGAUCGCACUUAUGAAUAGCUGCUAUACUACACUCCAGUCUGGGCAACAUAGUGAGACCCCAUCUCUA
rfam:Otolemur garnettii contig152916, whole genome shotgun sequence.